rnacentral:rRNA from 1 species
AUUGAACGCUGGCGGCAUGCCUUGCACAUGCAAGUCGAACGGUAACAGGUCUUCGGAUGCUGACGAGUGGCGAACGGGUGAGUAAUACAUCGGAACGUGCCUAGUAGUGGGGGAUAACUACUCGAAAGAGUGGCUAAUACCGCAUGAGAUCUACGGAUGAAAGCAGGGGAUCGCAAGACCUUGUGCUACUAGAGCGGCCGAUGGCAGAUUAGGUAGUUGGUGGGAUAAAAGCUUACCAAGCCGACGAACUGUAGCUGGUCUGAGAGGACGAUCAUCCACACUGGGACUCAGACACGGCCCAGACUACUACGGUAGGCAGCAGUGGGGAAUUUUGGACAAUGGGCGAAAGCCUGAUCCAGCAAUGCCGCGUGCAGGAUGAAGGCCUUCGGGUUGUAAACUGCUUUUGUACGGAACGAAAAGCCCCGGGUUAAUACCCUGGGGUCAUGACGGUACCGUAAGAAUAAGCACCGGCUAACUACGUGCCAGCCGCCGCUGUAA